AGUUUUGUCAUCUCUACCUAUGUUGUUUUGUCUGUAUAUAUAUACUUAGAGAAGAACAUUUUGUUGGUAGAGAAAGUCAUUUACAUUUAGAAAUCAUGACUUCUUUUAUUAGUAAAUUCUACCCCGUCUUCAUGUUCCUCUGUCUUGUCAUUUUCCUUAUUUUCUCAUGGCCAUGGGAGGUGGAAGAAAAAGUUUGUGGAAGGCCAAAUCGAACAUGGUCAGGGCCUUGUAUUGAUUCGGACUGUGAUGAAGCGUGCCUCGACUUAGAGUUUGCUGCAAUAUAUGGUUCUUGUGGAGGAACUAGUUAUGAUUGCUUCUGCUUCUUCAAAUGUUAGAGCAUUGAGUUUCUGAUCAAGUAGUUUUCACCUUUGACAUUUUAUGGGUGUGAAAGUAAAGAGUAUACAAUACCGUUAAUCUUUAAUAUCAAUGAUAUCAUUUUAAUGUUAAGCCAUGUUUAUUAAUUAUAUAUAAUUAUUCUUAGAAUUAUAUGAUAGUAUACAGUAUAUAAUUAAAACAAGGGAGAAAUAUAGAAAAUCAAUGAGGGUGUUGGUUUGGUGGAUUCUCUCUGUAAAAUAAAUUCUUGUAUUAUUGAGUUAGAGUCGGAAAAUAUCUUAAAGAGAGUGAUAUAGUCUAAGACUCAACGUAUUUUUGUAUGAUAGAGUUAUUUUUUAUGUAUGUGUUUGAUUUUUGCA